rnacentral:rRNA from 1 species
GACGAACGCUGGCGGCGUGCUUAACACAUGCAAGUCGAACGGAAAGGCCCUGCUUUUGUGGGGUGCUCGAGUGGCGAACGGGUGAGUAACACGUGAGUAACCUGCCCUUGACUUUGGGAUAACUUCAGGAAACUGGGGCUAAUACCGGAUAGGAGCUCCUGCUGCAUGGUGGGGGUUGGAAAGUUUCGGCGGUUGGGGAUGGACUCGCGGCUUAUCAGCUUGUUGGUGGGGUAGUGGCUUACCAAGGCUUUGACGGGUAGCCGGCCUGAGAGGGUGACCGGCCACAUUAGGACUGAGAUACGGCCCAGACUCCUACGAGAGGCAGCAGUGGGGAAUAUUGCACUAUGGGCGGAAGCCUGAUGCAGCAACGCCGCGUGCGGGAUGACGGCCUUCGGGUUGUAAACCGCUUUCGCCUGUGACGAAGCGUGAGUGACGGUAAUUGGUAAAGAAGCACCGGCUAACUACGUG